ACGCAUGCGCACGCACAUCGGCCGCGCAGCCGUUAACUUCGGGCAUGCGCUCGGGCGCGAACCCGGAUGCAAAAGGCAUAGAGGACAGUGGCUGAUGCCGGUACUGGGAACCGAGCCCGGCACCACCUUCAGGCCUUCAGGUUUCCAGGCAUAGAUUUGCAUCCAGUGGGCCACAGGAGAAGAGAAGUGGAAGUCCUCACACCGAGAUAGUGGUCAUUUCGGCUUCUGAAACCAGGCUCCCCACCACAAGCUUCCUGCCCUAUCCUAGCUGCUGUUCUGGCUUGAACAACCCCUACUUGCAUACCUACCUAUUAGAAGCCAGGACCACUUUGUAACCUGAUCUCCUGCACUGCCUUAUCUCCUUGUAACCGGAUCUCCUGCACUGUGCUGUAACCCCACUGUUUGGGUCCCAGAAUUUUCAAGUGUGAGCUCAUCUGUGUCCGCUAGCAUAAAUAAACCCAAGUUCUCCUA